GUAAAGGUUGUCUGGAAAAAAAAACGCUUGAAGCAGCUAACGGCUGCUCCAAGUGUUAGUUGGAGAAGCUAAAUCACUGAACAACACGGCAGCUUACGGUCAUGUUGUUCAGUGAUUUGGUGAAUUCGUCGAAAAAUUAAGAUGGCGGGCGUCCUUAGGCUGAACGUUCUCAUUUGACAAUCAGGAAUCUGUCAAAGUCCUUGUAACAACUUUUCAAAAUGAAAAAGAGACUUCUAAAAAAAUUCUUCAUGUUUCAAGUACCAAUAAUCUCAUUGAACAAACUCUUGCCCAGCAAUCUGGCUGUUUGUUGGACAGGAUCUUAAAGUAUAAUUCUGACUUCUUGGAGUAUAUUGAUGUUGACACCAAUGUGGAAAUUAAGGACUUUGACAGAUUCCAUGUGUUCCUGUCAACUGGAGGGCCCCUAGUGGAAGCUUCUCUCGAAGAGACAAAUCAAAACCAGCCCCAUACUAAUAGGGUAGAGGACAGUCAGUCCUUACAAUCACUACUAGUAAAGAAAGCACCACAGAUCCUGAAGGAGUAUGAGACCACAGGUUUCCUGUCAGUUCAGUCAAGAAAGCUUCUUGUGAAGACAUGCAUAGGAGACCUAGUUCAGAGAUGUGGUUUUUAUCCUCUUAAUGGAGACAAGCUGGCUUUAGCGAAGAGCAUCAUUGCCACCUUCCCAUCUCUGAUUGUCCAGGUGG